CGGGUGAGUAACGCGUGAGGAACCUGCCUCAAAGAGGGGGACAACAGUUGGAAACGACUGCUAAUACCGCAUAAGCCCACGGCUCGGCAUCGAGCAGAGGGAAAAGGAGUGAUCCGCUUUGAGAUGGCCUCGCGUCCGAUUAGCUAGUUGGUGAGGUAACGGCCCACCAAGGCGACGAUCGGUAGCCGGACUGAGAGGUUGAACGGCCACAUUGGGACUGAGACACGGCCCAG
rnacentral:rRNA from 1 species